GGGCUGUCGCUGACUCAAAGUCGUGCACGCCCGAGUGUGUCCUCUCACAUAAUAAUCCAUCUCACCCUUUGUGCAUCGCCGCGUGAGCACCCUUUGGGAUCAUCUCGGAGGGGGCUCGCGUUUUCACACAAACCCCCCUUUUAAAAGUGUAGAAUGACCUCAUUUAUGCGCUAACACGCAAUCAAUACAACUUUCAACAACGGAUCUCUUGGCUCUCGCAUCGAUGAAGAACGCAGCGAAAUGCGAUACGUAAUGUGAAUUGCAGAAUUCAGUGAAUCAUCGAAUCUUUGAACGCACCUUGCGCCCCUUGGUAUUCCGAGGGGCACACCCGUUUGAGUGUCGUGAAAACCUCAACCUCCUUGGUUUCUUCUGGAGACCAAAGGCAGGCUUGGACUUUGGAGGCCCUUGCUGGAACCUCUCUCUUUUGAAGGCCAGCUCCUCUUAAACGAAUUAGCAGGGUCCUCUUUGCCGAUCCUCGACGUGUGAUAAGAUGUUUCCAUGUCUUGGUUUCUGGCUCUGUCACUUUUGGGACCCGCUUCUAACCGUCUUGACCUUGCAUCGAGACAAUGUUCGAGCAUGUCUCCCUUCUCGGGAAGCUCCCUCGACCCCACGAACCCUUGACCUCAAAUCGGGUGAGACUACCCGCUGAACUUAAGCAUAUCAAUAAGCGGAGGAAAAGAAACUAACAAGGAUUCCCCUAGUAACUGCGAGUGAAGCGGGAAAAGCUCAAAUUUAAAAUCUGGCGGUCUUUGGCCGUCCGAGUUGUAAUUUAGAGAAGCGUCUUCCGCGCUGGACCGUGUA
rnacentral:rRNA from 1 species